rnacentral:guide_RNA from 1 species
CAUAUACUCAGAAUAUAAAGAUGAUAAAG